AUUGAACGCUGGCGGCAGGCCUAACACAUGCAAGUCGAGCGAGCGGCGGACGGGUGAGUAAUGUAUGGGGAUCUGCCCGAGAGAGGGGGAUAACUACUGGAAACGGUGGCUAAUACCGCAAACUUUCGGAUUAACCCAUAGUGGAUUAGCUGGUAGGGGGGGUAAAGGCUCACCUGGGCGACGAUCUCUAGCUGUUCUGAGAGGAAGAUCAGCCACACUGGGACUGCGACACGGCCCAGACUCCUACGGGAGGCAGCAGAGGGGAAUAUUGCACAAUGGGCGCAAUCCUAAUGCAGCCAUGCCGCGUGUAUGAAGAAGGCCUUAGGGUUUUAAAGUACUUUCAGCGGGGAGGCGUUACCCGCAGAAGAAGCACCGGCUAACUCCGUGCCAGCAGCCGCGGUAAUAC
rnacentral:rRNA from 1 species